AUAGUUCCUUCUCCCAUGCUGCAAAUUAUGAUCCUGCAUUCCUUAACAAGGCAAUGAUAUUCAGUGAAAACCCUGCCAACUUGCAGAAUCUGGUGUGGUCGAACAGUGACCUCCCUGGUCAUGGGUCAUCUGCUGCUGCUAUACUUAGGACGGCUGCUCCUCCAGGGUCUCAAUCUGUCACCCAGGCUGGUGUGCAGUGGUACAAUCAUGGCUUACUGUAGCCUCUGCCUGCUGGGUUCAAGUGAUCCUCCUGCCUCAGCCUCCUGAGCAGCUAGGACCACAGUUUCCUAGGUGUCCUUUAUUCAGAAACUAAGAGUGGGGCAAUAUAAGCUUCAUAAGGGCAAGGCCUUCAUCACUGAAACUCCAGCACCUACGACAGUGCCUGGCACCAGAUGGGCACAAAAUACUUGCAUGAAUGUAUAGAGAAAUGAAGUUCCUUCUUGUAUUUGAUUGUUUGGAUGUUCUUCUAUAGAGGUAAGCAGACCCUACUUGAUUGUAGUAUAUUUAUUUUUAAUGACAUAUCUUAUUUCUUGACAGCAAACGGCUGAAGGACAUAUCUUCUUAUUUGAAUCAUCUAACUGGUGUGUGUGAAACUUUGUCCAUCUUUCUUUGGAGGAAUGAUCUCUGAUAAAUAUUUUUAAAUAUUCAGCUCUGCUUUAUUACUGAACAGUAAUACAUCCUGGUAUGAAUGAGAAAUACAUCAUUUUUUUUUUUUGCAUAUCCAUCACCUCAAAUGUUUAUCAUUUAUUUGUGGUGAGAACAUCUAAAAUCCUCUCUUUUAGGCUGAGCACAGUGGUUCACAUUUGUAAUCCCAGCACUUUGGGAAGCUGAGGGGUGUGGACUGCUUGAGCCCAGGAGUUUGAGACCAGCCCGGGCAACAUAGAAAAAUCUUCUCUCUAUUGAAAAUAAUAAAAAUAAAAUUGGCCGGGUGUGGUGGCAUGUGCCUGUAGUCCCAGUUACUAAUGAGGCUAAGGUGGGAAGAUCACUUGAGCCCUAGAGGUCUAGGCUGCAGUGAGCCGUAAUCACGCCACUGCAUGGGCAAAUGAGACCCCAUCUCAAAAAAAACACAAGAAAACAAAAAAAACCAAAAAAACAAAAAA